UACGGAGGGUGCAAGCGUUAAUCGGAAUUACUGGGCGUAAAGCGCACGCAGGUGGCUGAGUAAGUCGAUUGUGAAAGCCCUGGGCUUAACCUGGGAAUUGCAGUCGAUACUACUCGGCUUGAGUAUGGGAGAGGGCAGUGGAAUUCUCGGUGUAGCGGUGAAAUGCGUAGAUAUCGAGAGGAACAUCAGUGGCGAAGGCGGCUGCCUGGCCCAAUACUGACACUCAGGUGCGACAGCGUGGGGAGCAAACAGG
rnacentral:rRNA from 1 species